UACAGAGGUCUCAAGCGUUGUUCGGAUUCAUUGGGCGUAAAGGGUGCGUAGGCGGCGCGGUAAGUCGGGUGUGAAAUCUCGGGGCUUAACUCCGAAACUGCAUUCGAUACUGCCGUGCUUGAGGACUGGAGAGGAGACUGGAAUUUACGGUGUAGCGGUGAAAUGCGUAGAUAUCGUAAGGAAGACCAGUGGCGAAGGCGGGUCUCUGGACAGUUCCUGACGCUGAGGCGCGAAAGCCUAGGGGAGCGAACAGG
rnacentral:rRNA from 1 species